rnacentral:lncRNA from 1 species
CCCUCCUCAGAUAUCUUUAAGUCUCCCAACACAGAACCUUUGUCCCCCCCGUCGUUCAAAAGUUUAUGAAAAUAGGACUGCCACCUCUCCCUAAUGAGGGCAUCCUCAACCAACACUAUACCAUCCUCUCCUUUGAUGCACUUCACUUGGUCAAGGUCACGAGCCCUCCGCUCCCUGGCCUUGACCAUCCUAUACAACUUCUUAUCUCUAUCUUUCUCCUCUAAAA